GGGAAAAGUUUGUGAAGGCUCAUAACCUUUAGUAGUAUAUGUUAUUGUAUCUUUCCUU
rnacentral:tRNA from 1 species